rnacentral:lncRNA from 1 species
UGCUCCUUUCCAGGUAGCUGUACUCCAGGUGGAGGGUUCAUUCUCUCCUAUCCUAGAAUCCUUGGUCUGAUCACCUGGUACAGACUCAUCCAUAUUUACUUGUACACCUACCUCCUUUCUUUGCACAUCUACUUCUAUCUCUCUCUUGUUUUCUGAUUCUCGCUUUAUUCCUACGCGAUUAUCAGCAAAAGAUCCCUCAGAUGGAUCUGAUUCAAUCUGUGGACUAACACCACUCAUCUUAGCUAUCCUGAAGAACACCACAAGAAACAAACAUUAGCACACAU